rnacentral:tRNA from 1 species
GAUAAUGAACUAGUUAGUGUAUGUCUUGAAAACAUAAAAAAGAAAUAAAAUUUUCUAUUAUCUUG